rnacentral:lncRNA from 1 species
UAUUCUAAGUGAUUAAACAAAAUUUUCAUUACACUAGGUGCUCAGCAGCACAUGAUGAACCUUUUACCAAACCUUGUAGAAAUUUUGCUAAGAGGAUUUUUAAAAUUCUAUGUAUAGCAAAAUACAGUGCUUUUUUUUCACUAAUAACCACCUUCAGUGUUAAGAAUAUGUCUGAUUUCUGAUUUUUGGUUUGCACUUUUCGCUUUGAAUUCCGUAACUGAAUUUAAUCUGCUUUUUUUCUCUCCAAUGUUGUCACAAGGUCACUAUUACAUGAAGCUGAGUGGCAUGCUUCAGAAAAAGAAGUGUAAAGCAAUUCUACUGGUGCCUGCUUCUUGAGCAUAUUAAUGUGUCCUCAGCCUGUCCCCAGCUUGAGGUGUUUGGAGCAGAAGAAAUGGAGUAGAAUUUGCUCACAGACAUUGAAUUUACUGCUUCCUCUUUAUGCAAGAGACUCCUGUGUUUUCCAGAAGUGCUGUUUUCCAUGUUGUUUGCUUGAGACCAAUACUGUGGCUUACCAGCAAAGGAAGGGUUGUUUCCAGAUCAUUUUGGUUAGAAACCAAGCACCUUCAGAGAAAUGUAACUGUCUCUCACUAUCACAGAAUCACCAAGGCUGGAAAAGACCUUCAAGAUCAUCCAGUUCAACCAUCCACCUAUCACUAAUAGUUCUCACUAAACCGUGUCCCUCAACACAAAAUCCAAACGUUCCUUGA